AAAAAGGUAAGCUAAAGUAAGCUAUUGGGUUCAUACCUCAUCCAUAGAAGUAAAAUCUUCUUCUUUUUA
rnacentral:tRNA from 1 species